GACGAACGCUGGCGGCGUGCCUAAUACAUGCAAGUUGAGCGCUGAAGGUUGGUACUUGUCCCGACUGGAUGAGCAGCGAACGGGUGAGUAACGCGUGGGGAAUCUGCCUUUGAGCGGGGGACAACAUUUGGAAACGAAUGCUAAUACCGCAUAAAAACUUUAAACACAAGUUUUAAGUUUGAAAGAUGCAAUUGCAUCACUCAAAGAUGAUCCCGCGUUGUAUUAGCUAGUUGGUGAGGUAAAGGCUCACCAAGGCGAUGAUACAUAGCCGACCUGAGAGGGUGAUCGGCCACAUUGGGACUGAGACACGGCCCAAACUCCUACGGGAGGCAGCAGUAGGGAAUCUUCGGCAAUGGACGAAAGUCUGACCGAGCAACGCCGCGUGAGUGAAGAAGGUGUUCGGAUCGUAAAACUCUGUUGGUAGAGAAGAACGUUGGUGAGAGUGGAAAGCUCAUCAAGUGACGGUAACUACCCAGAAAGGGACGGCUAACUACGUG
rnacentral:rRNA from 1 species